GGCUACCAUGCAGUCGAGGGGCAGCAUUUCAGUUUGCUUGCAAACUGGAGAUGGCGACCGGCGCACGGGUGAGUAACACGCUAUCCAACCUGCCGAUAACUCGGGGAUAGCCUUUCGAAAGAAAGAUUAAUACCCGAUGGUAUAAUCAGACCGCAUGGUCUUNUUAUUAAAGAAUUUCGGUUAUCGAUGGGGAUGCGUUCCAUUAGGCAGUUGGUGAGGUAACGGCUCACCAAACCUUCGAUGGAUAGGGGUUCUGAGAGGAAGGUCCCCCACAUUGGAACUGAGACACGGUCCAAACUCNUACGGGAGGCAGCAGUGAGGAAUAUUGGUCAAUGGGCGCAGGCCUGAACCAGCCAAGUAGCGUGAAGGAUGACUGCCCUAUGGGUUGUAAACUUCUUUUAUAUGGGAAUAAAGUUUUCCACGUGUGGAAUUUUGUAUGUACCAUAUGAAUAAGGAUCGGCUAACUCCGUGCCAGCAGCCGCGGUAAUACGGAGGAUCCGAGCGUUAUCCGGAUUUAUUGGGUUUAAAGGGAGCGUAGGUGGACAGUUAAGUCAGUUGUGAAAGUUUGCGGCUCAACCGUAAAAUUGCAGUUGAUACUGGCUGUCUUGAGUACAGUAGAGGUGGGCGGAAUUCGUGGUGUAGCGGUGAAAUGCUUAGAUAUCACGAAGAACUCCGAUUGCGAAGGCAGCUCACUGGACUGCAACUGACACUGAUGCUCGAAAGUGUGGGUAUCAAACAGGAUUAGAUACCCUGGUAGUCCACACAGUAAACGAUGAAUACUCGCUGUUUGCGAUAUACAGUAAGCGGCCAAGCGAAAGCAUUAAGUAUUCCACCUGGGGAGUACGCCGGCAACGGUGAAACUCAAAGGAAUUGACGGGGGCCCGCACAAGCGGAGGAACAUGUGGUUUAAUUCGAUGAUACGCGAGGAACCUUACCCGGGCUUAAAUUGCAUUUUGAAUAUUUUGGAAAACAGGAUAGCCGNAAGGCAAAUGUGAAGGGGCUGCAUGGUUGUCGUCAGCUCGUGCCGUGAGGUGUCGGCUUAAGUGCCAUAACGAGCGCAACCCUUAUCUUUAGUUACUAACAGGUCAUGCUGAGGACUCUAGAGAGACUGCCGUCGUAAGAUGUGAGGAAGGUGGGGAUGACGUCAAAUCAGCACGGCCCUUACGUCCGGGGCUACACACGUGUUACAAUGGGGGGUACAGAAGGCAGCUACCUGGUGACAGGAUGCUAAUCCCAAAAGCCUCUCUCAGUUCGGAUCGAAGUCUGCAACCCGACUUCGUGAAGCUGGAUUCGCUAGUAAUCGCGCAUCAGCCAUGGCGCGGUGAAUACGUUCCCGGGCCUUGUACACACCGCCCGUCAAGCCAUGAAAGCCGGGGGUACCUGAAGUACGAACCGCAAGAGCUCNNGGA
rnacentral:rRNA from 1 species